rnacentral:tRNA from 1 species
GGGCUCAUAGCUCAGCUGGUAGAGCGCCUGCCUUGCACGCAGGAGGUCAUCGGUUCGAUCCCGAUUGGGUCCA